CUUCCUUGGUCAGCUUACACCCUGUUCAUAAUUCACAGGAGUAAACUCCCAGGAGACAGCUGGGAAAAGUAAGGACCUGUCGGUUCACUUGGAGUGGCCAUCUGCCAGACACAGGGCACAUGGCCCAGGCCGGAUAAGCCUCGGCAGCACCACCUGGGAGCUGAGCACUUGCAAGGGCAUUGCCCGUCAUGCCACGUGAGCACGCAGUGGCCACACACGCCCAGCCAGAGGGCUCCGCCUCCAUCGCCAGUCAGUGUGAGGCAGUGCCACCGUAGAUGAGCCCCUUCCAGAUCCUGAGGGCCUUGUGGCUUGGUUUCCUCCCCCUCCAGCACAGCAGCGCUGAGUUAAGAAUUUCUGCUCAUGGGGAACUGUGCACAGUUGGGCCCAGAGUGUGUACUUAUUGGUCAGCCUUUCUAUCAUCCCUCUUGCCAGCUCUCUUUGUUACCAGACUCCAGUUUAGCUGCUCAUCACUCAAGAAUCCAAUACUGAGAGGUGGUCUAGUGGUUCAGAAUCCUCCUGCCAAUGCAGGGGAAUAACAGGUUCGACCCGUGGUCCAGGAAGAUUCUGCAUGCCGUGGGGCGGCUAAGCUCGUGUGCCACAGCUACCGAAGCCUGAGCAUCUAGAGCCCGUGCUCUGCAACGAGAGAAGCCACGGCAGUGAGAAGCCCAUGGACCACAACCGAGAGUAGCCCCUGCUCACUGCAACUAGAAAAACCCGCACAGCAACGAAGACCCGGUGCUGCCGAAAGUCACAACUGCAUUUGUUAAACGUCACGUCAGGGAAUGAGAAUCGCGGAAAGGACUCUGCUUGAGUGGAUGGUGCAGGGGGCUGUGGGGAAGACCCCCGAGCCCCCCAGCCCCUCUGCGUGUGUCUCGCCGUCUCCCUCCCCGGCCCCACCCCCCACCAGCCACGCGGGCACGGGGGCCUCGAUUCCCCCGGACACCGUCUACAGUCCCGUCAGCCAGAAAGGCAACAGCUUCCCACUGUUCGCUGCCAGCUCGAACUUGAGGACCAGGACCGAGGGCGCUGAGCCUCCCCACCCGCCUUACAAUCGUGGUGAAAUAAACAUGACACAGAAUUCACCUUCCUAAACUCAGUGCACAGCUGAGGGACAGUCAGCACACGCACAUGUUGUCCAGCUUCAUCCGCCGGCAUCUCCAGACCUUCCAUCCUCCCAAACCGACACUCUGUCCCCCUGACACACUCGCCCCCCGUCCCCUCCCCCAGUCCCCACCACCCUACUGUCCUUCCCAAUGGAUUUGGUGCCUCUGGGGACCUCGUAGGAGUGGAAUUCUUCAGGAUUUGUCCCUUCCUGCCUGGCUUCUUUCAUUCAGGACAGGGUCCUCCUGGUUCAUCCGUAUCGUAGCCUCUGUACGAAUUCCAAUGCCCAUUACUCAGCCGUAAAAAAGAACGGAUCUGGUCAGCUGUAGUGACGUGGGUGACCCGAGAGCCUGUUACAAAGGUCGAAGUAAGUCAGAAAGAGAAAAACAAGUAUCGUGUGUUAACACACGCAUAUGGAAUCUGGAAAAACCGUGCUGGUGAACCUAUUUGCAGGGGAGGAAAGGAGUGGGGACACAGACAUAAAGAAUGGCUUGGUGGACACAGCAGGAGGAGAAAGAAAGAAGUGAAAGUGAAGUCGCUCAGUCGUGUCCAACUCUUUGCGACCCCAGGGACUGUAGCCUACCACGCUCCUCCUCCAUGGGGUUUUCCAGGCAAGAGUACUGGGGUGGGUUGCCAUUUCCUCCUCCAGGGGAUCUUUCCCAGCCCAGGGAUUGAACCCAGGUCUCCUGCAUUGCAGUCAGAUGCUUUACCGUCUGAGCCACCAAGAAAGUAGGGCAAUUGACAAAGCAGCAUUGAUGUGUGUAUAUAUGUACACACACUGCCUGUGUGUGUGCUAAGUUGCUUCAGUCGUCUCCGACUCUUUUUAUAACGAGCAUCCCUUCUUAAAGCCCAUUUCAUGUGCCUGAAAUGCAGUGUGUCAAAUCAUCAGCACCUUGCCCCUGUCCCCCCCAAAUAUCCAGUAGGACCCACAAUCGCUGUAACUAGCCACCCAUCACCCUGUAGUUCCCUGACACUCCCUAGGGGCACGCCUUCCCCCCACAACCACCCAGGACACCCAGAUGUCCCAGAUGACGCUGGCCCUUGGGGAGCCCAGGGCUCUUUGUUCCUCAUCCACUCCCCAAGUCUCGAGCCCCUAAAACCCCGAUGAUGGUUCCCCCCACCCCGCAGAUUUCAUCCUCAGAAACAAAUUGCACGUGUGCAAGGCCCCGCAAGGCCCCAAGGAUGAAACGGACCCCACCCUCCACCUCUGCAUAGGCUCAGCUGGCCACGCCUCACAGCUUCACCACCAUCCUUAGCCAUCACCCUCAUCUCAAAGAGAUGGAGACAGGCCCAGCUAGGACUCCUAAUCCUAAGUCAGUACACCCUCCCCCUGUCUGUGUGAGGAAGGGCAGAGGCGCUCAGACCCCUACACCCCACACACACAAUGGCCGAGGGGCCCCUGUGAGCCGCUGAACCCAGGCCGCUUGCCCUGAGCCCGUGAGUCAACGCUCGGAGCAGGUGGCAGCCCCGGUGCCGCCCGGUGUCUGCUAGGUGCUGCCAUGGCCACCA
ensembl:lncRNA